rnacentral:rRNA from 1 species
GAUGAACGCUGGCGGCGUGCCUAAUACAUGCAAGUCGAGCGAACAGACGAGGAGUUUGCUCCUCUGACGUUAGCGGCGCACGUGUGAGUAACAUGUGUAUAACCUCCCUAUAAGACUGGUAUAACUUCGGGAAGCCGGAUCUAAUACCGUAUAAUAUGUUGAACCGCAUCGUUCAAUAGUAAAAUACGGUUUUGUCGUUACUUAUAGGUGGUUCCGGGCCGCAUUAGCUAGUUGGUAAGGUAACGGCUUACAAAGGCAACGAUGCGUAGCCGACCUGAGAGGGUGAUCGGCACACUGGGACUUGAGCAACGGUCAAGACUCCACCGGGAGGAAGAAGUAGGGAACCUCGGGAAAUGGCGGAAAGCCUGACGGAGAACGGCCGCGUGAGUGAUGAAGGUCUCCGGAUCGUAAACCUCUGUUAUUAGGAAAAAACAAAUGUGUAAGUAACUAUGCACGUCUUGACGGUACCUAAUCAGAAAGCGACGGCUAACUACGUG